GCGGCCUAUCAGCUUGUUGGUGAGGUAAUGGCUCACCAAGGCAACGACGGGUAGCCGGCCUGAGAGGGCGACCGGCCACACUGGGACUGAGACACGGCCCAGACUCCUACGGGAGGCAGCAGUGGGGAAUAUUGGGCAAUGGACGCAAGUCUGGCCCAGCGACGCCGCGUGCGGGAUGAAGGCCUUCGGGUUGUAAACCGCUUUCAACAGGGAAGAAGCGAAAGUGACGGUACCUGCAAAAGAAGCACCGGCUAACUAUGUGCCAGCAGCCGCGGUAAUACAUAGGGUGCAAGCGUUGUCCGGAAUUAUUGGGCGUAAAGAGUUCGUAGGUGGUUCGUUACGUCGGAUGUGAAAAUCUGGGGCUCAACCCCAGACCUGCAUUCGAUACGGGCGAGCUAGAGUUUGGUAGGGGAGACUGGAAUUCCU
rnacentral:rRNA from 1 species